UACGAAGGGGGGCUAGCGUUGCUCGGAAUCACUGGGCGUAAAGGGUGCGUAGGCGGCCUGACAAGUCUGAUGUGAAAUCCCUGGGCUCAACCCAGGGCCUGCAUCGGAAACUGUCGGGCUUGAGUAUGGGAGAGGUGAGUGGAAUUUCCGGGUGUAGCGGUGAAAUGCGUAGAUGAAUCGGAAGGAACACCUGUGGCGAAAGCGGCUCACUGGACCAU
rnacentral:rRNA from 1 species